GGAUCACACACUCCCACACACAAACACAAUACACAAUACACACCGAACGAAAACCUCAAAAAAUCUCCUUCUCCUUCUCCUUCUCCUUCAAUGGCGUCCUCAGAAUCCGUAGACGAUAGCUUCCGAGCCCGAGUCGAAAAGGUGUUCGGAUCCCUCGCAUCCUCGAAAUCAUCGCCGUGGUCACUCACCGACGGCGAGGUCGAGCGACGAGAAUGGAGGCGAGAAAGUAACGACACACGCGAUCGCGACGACACGCCGUGCUCAUCGGCGUUCGACGAGUGCUUUAAGAAAGACCAAAGAGCUUCGCGAAGAAAGCUUCGUAGAGAGCUCGAUGACCAAAACGACGACGCGGAUGAACAGUCCGAUCGGUCGUUUAGAGGCGGAGAUGCUGAUAUAGACGAAUGGGAAAUCAGAUCUUCGAUCGGCUUGGACCCCACUCUCGACCGCGAGGAAGAGGAAGAUGAGUUUGAUAAAGUGGCUACAGGCAGAGAAAAUGCGGGUGAUCGUUUGUUUAUGGGAGAUGUUUCUGAUCAUGGGUCUUAUUUGAACUCUCACAAUGUGCUUACCAAUUCAUUACAUGGUACUAGUACUGCAAAGGAUCCACGUGCCAAUCACCUGGCUGCAAAAAUUAGGCUAAAAGAAGAUGAAGAUGAAGCUGAAGGUCAAAAGUACAAUUCUGGCGGUGCUCAUGACUCAGAAGUUAAGGGGCAGCAUGUAGAAACAUCUGAAGAUUGUAAGCAACUGAGGUCCAUAUUGAAGAGGAAGGACAAUAAUGCUGUUUUUAAGCCACAAAAACGUGUCAGGUUUGACCCUAGUGUUGGAAGUGUUUUUGAAGAAGAAGAAAAGACUAUGGCUGCCUCCUUGAUGGAGCCUACGGGUUCAGAUGAUGGAACUCUGGAAGGCCAAAAUGCUUCUAGGUUACCGGAUUAUUUACUAAAUCCUUCCAAGUAUACACGUUAUAGUUUUGAUUCAACGAGUGAAUUUGAUGAAGAAUCUAAUGCUCAAGCAUAUAUGGACUUCAUUAAUCUUGUAAAUAAAUCAAAGCCUCCAGAGUCAAGGUUAGAGCCAGCUGAUACUUCAGUUGAUCUGUCAAAGUCUGUGAUCUUUAUUCCAAAGAAAAAGACUAGUGAUGCCAAAGCAGUAAGUGAUAGUGGUGUGUUAAAUCAAAACAUGGAAGAAGAUCGUAAGCAGUUCUUGCAUCGAGCAGGCUUUCUUGUAGGAAUUGCGGCUGGGGAAGCCCAAAAUGAAGUUAGUGCAAUGGAGGAGGAUGAAUCACAAACAAGUGCAGCAGACAGAAGUGCUGGUUUUCAAAAAUCUGGUCGGAGGUAUCGUACAAAGUCAAGGUCAGAUGACGAUGAUUCUUGAUGUUCUCUGAAGUUUCAGACAGGCAGGCUUGAGCGAUGGUUCAUGAUAGAUUUCUGACAGAAAUCUCAUGAUAAUUCAAUAUUUGUGAGAGAAAGGGGGUGGGGGGGGUGGUUGAUCAUUGAACGUUUUUCUUGGAAACACCAGGAGCUCCUAAAUGUGCUAGAAGGUUAUUGGCAUGUUUACCUGGAAAAAAUUGAGCUCUGGUCUCAUGACUUACUUAACCCAACCAACCAAGUCUCUCUCACUCUCUCUUUCUCUCAUGCGUACAGGUACAGCUCUUCCCCUCUCUCUUGUCCAUGACAACUCUUCUCCUCUUUACCAUUAUUCAGUUUCUCUUCUCCACAAAUCAAUUGCUGAUAAGCACAAGUCCCCCUAAGGUCAAAUGAAGUGAUUGGUAGCUAGGAUGUUUCCCUACUUUUGGGCUUGCCUAAACAUACCACCCUUGUUUUCUGGGAAUUAUUUGACUUUAUGUUCGGUUUUCCAAAUAGAGGGAAAUAGAUUAAAACAUGUCGGUCUUGUUUUGCUAUUCAUUUCCAAGAUUAGCUCAUUAGUUAUUACAAGCAACGCAAAGAUGGUGUUGAAUUGGCUCUUGUUUAAUGGAAUUAAAGGACUAGCAAUAUUACGUAGUUCUUUGAAAAUUAAAACUCA